GACGAACGCUGGCGGCGUGCUUAACACAUGCCAGUCGAACGGAAAGGCCCUGCUUUUGUGGGGUGCUCGAGUGGCGAACGGGUGAGUAACACGUGAGUAACCUGCCCUUGACUUUGGGAUAACUUCAGGAAACUGGGGCUAAUACCGGAUAGGAGCUCCUGCUGCAUGGUGGGGGUUGGAAAGUUUCGGCGGUUGGGGAUGGACUCGCGGCUUAUCAGCUUGUUGGUGGGGUAGUGGCUUACCAAGGCUUUGACGGGUAGCCGGCCUGAGAGGGUGACCGGCCACAUUGGGACUGAGAUACGGCCCAGACUCCUACGGGAGGCAGCAGUGGGGAAUAUUGCACAAUGGGCGGAAGCCUGAUGCAGCAACGCCGCGUGCGGGAUGACGGCCUUCGGGUUGUAAACCGCUUUCGCCUGUGACGAAGCGUGAGUGACGGUAAUGGGUAAAGAAGCACCUGCUAACUACGUG
rnacentral:rRNA from 1 species